rnacentral:rRNA from 1 species
AACGAACGCUGGCGGCAUGCCUAACACAUGCAAGUCGAACGAGACCUUCGGGUCUCGUGGCGCACGGGUGCGUAACGCGUGGGAACCUGCCCUUAGGUUCGGAAUAACUCCCCGAAAGGGGUGCUAAUACCGGAUAAUGUCUUCGGACCAAAGAUUUAUCGCCUUUGGAUGGGCCCGCGUUGGAUUAGCUAGUUGGUAGGGUAAAAGCCUACCAAGGCGACGAUCCAUAGCUGGUCUGAGAGGAUGAUCAGCCACACUGGGACUGAGACACGGCCCAGACUCCUACGGGAGGCAGCAGUGGGGAAUAUUGGACGAUGGGCGAAAGCCUGAUCCAGCAAUGCCGCGUGAGUGAUGAUGGCCUUAGGGUUGUAAAGCUCUUUUACCCGGGAUGAUAAUGACAGUACCGGGAGAAUAAGCUCCGGCUAACUCCGUG